rnacentral:rRNA from 1 species
UGGGGAAUAUUGGACAAUGGGCGAAAGCCUGAUCCAGCCAUUCCGCGUGUGUGAAGAAGGUCUUCGGAUUGUAAAGCACUUUAAGUUGGGAGGAAGGGCAGUAAGCGAAUACCUUGCUGUUUUGACGUUACCGACAGAAUAAGCACCGGCUAACUCUGUGCCAGCAGCCGCGGUAAUACAGAGGGUGCAAGCGUUAAUCGGAAUUACUGGGCGUAAAGCGCGCGUAGGUGGUUCGUUAAGUUGAAUGUGAAAGCCCCGGGCGCAACCUGGGAACUGCAUCCAAAACUGGCGAGCUAGAGUAGGGCAGAGGGUGGUGGAAUUUCCUGUGUAGCGGUGAAAUGCGUAGAUAUAGGAAGGAACACCAGUGGCGAAGGCGACCACCUGGGCUAAUACUGACACUGAGGUGCGAAAGCGUGGGGAGCAAACAGG